AAAUACUUACCUACUGACGCAACCAACGUUGAAAAGAUAGAAGACUGAUUAAAAAAGAAAUCGACGGAAAAGAGAGAAUGAGAGAGAGUUUCGGUAGAAACAAGGAGAAGCAAUCGCCAACAGAGAAGAGAAGGGAUUUUGACAGCAACACAGAGAGAUUGUAGUCAAGAGAAAACGAAACAAAAGAUGUGGGGAAAAAAAUAAAAAGGGACAAAAUUCA
rnacentral:lncRNA from 1 species